CCAGAAGACAAAAGGGUGUGAUUAACUUGGCUGGGGAAACAGGUCAGGGAGGACAAUGGAUUGCUGGCCGUGGGGGGUGGGGGGUGGGGUGGGGUGGGGCAAAAGGCAAAGAAAAGAGGCCGACCCCUUUGUCCAACCCCCUUUUGGUUUUCUUCCUUCCAGGAUCAGGAUCCUCAGGAGCGUGUCCUGGCGGCCGGAUUAAGGAUUUUCUUUCCUCCCACAUUGAAGAAGGUGAUGGAGAAGACAUUCAGAAUUCUGAGGGAUGGAAUACUUUAUUUCAUUAGGAGUGUUCGUUUAUUAGUACGUGUUCCUCCCUCCCCCCAUCCUUCUGUGCUGCGGAGGGAACCCUGCAGAAAAGUUAUGGAGUGAAUUUCACUUCCCCACACAUCCGACACUGCUCAGCAUUCAGGGAAAUGGAAGAGGAAAGCUGGCCACAAUCCAAGAGACUGAGGUCAGCAGAAAGCGAAGCAAAGCCUACUCAAAGGGAAGCCGCUCCAGCUUCCAGCCCGUCUGCUCCCUCAAUGGCUGA
rnacentral:lncRNA from 1 species